rnacentral:lncRNA from 1 species
AUGCAUAAAACAUGGCACAGGAGGCUAGGGCAGCCCAGCACAGCAGCUGCCUUCGGGCCAGUCGGAAGUUAAGGGAAGGAAAGGCAAGGCAAGUUACAAGAUAAAAGAAGUCAACGGAAGCCUCAAAUACUCUUUUUUUUUUUUUUAAGAAAAGAACAAAAAGGGGGGGGUUAAGUUUUCUUUUUCAUUUUUAUACGUCUGGACUUAACUUCCAGGAUAGCUGCAAGACCCUUUUGUUCCUUUGCCAUGAGCAGGUUUUAGGCCGCUCUGUUGGGACCAUGGUGUUACCUUCGCGAUUACACUGGAUCAGAAACAGGCCAUGGAGGGACAGGAUCCGGAGGCGCCAGCUCAACCGAGAAAACCUGGAGAGGAGGCGACAAGGUGGAGAAAAAUCCAGUACAGGGGGUGAAUGGUGAACAUAAAGGAGA